rnacentral:rRNA from 1 species
AUGCUUUCUGUUGAUAGGGCCCUUCUUGACUUAGGGCGCCUUGCUUUCCGACGGCCUUUUGGGCCCGCGGAAUCCGCUGCCUGGCGUGAGUUGCUUGACUGUGUUGCUCUCCAUGAGUCUUUGGUAGAUGGUGGCCCUGACCUGGUGCGCUGGCGCCUUGAGCCGCCGGGCCAGUUCUCCACCAAGUCGCUUUACCUGGCCAUUGCCCCAUCCUCCGGCCCCCUUCCCCUGUCGAUGGUUUGGUCCAUCCACGUACCCCUGAAAAUUCGUAUCUUCAUGUGGCAAUGGAUUCGCGGUUGGGUCCCGUCCGGGGUGGAGGUCUGCAAGCGCAAUGGCCUGGGUACCGGCAUCUGUCCGCUCUGUGGCGUUCCUGAAGACUCGAACCACAUUUUCUUCUCCUGCGUUUCUGCCCAGUUUGGAGCUGCUUUCGCGAGGCGGUCGGUGGAAAUUGGUGCCACACCAAUUUCCCGGACUUAUUUGCUGAACUCCAGUUGUCCCCUGCGACCUCUCGCCACAUUAGGUGGCUUGAGGUUGGGGUUCUUGCCUGGACCCUCUGGACUGUUCGCAAUAAACUCGUGA